rnacentral:ncRNA from 1 species
CCAAAGACUGUGAAGAGGAGAAGUAGCAUUCAAUUGCAGCUCAGAGAGCCGGCGGCAGGUGCGAGCCCGGACUGGGGUUGAAUCGUGAAGUACACCUCGGAGUUGCUAGCUGAAGAUUUCAAGAACUCGUAACAGGGUUAGUGGAAUUGGUAGGUGUGGUCGGAACUUCCGCCGUUAUUAGGAAGGGGGUAUCGGUAAGCGAGUGUCUUACCCGUACUCUGCAGAGCGGAGUUGGUUAGCAGGUUAGCUUAUCAGCUCUACAAGGGUGGUAUCGCGGGAAGUAGAACUCCCGUCCCUUAC